GGAAAAUAUUAAUUAAAAGAAAAAAAGAACAAGUGAAGAUCAUCAUUCAGAUCCAGACUCUUGACUGUUGUGCUUUUAUUAAUCAACCGAUGAGUAACUUAUUCUCUUCCAGGAAGCUGUAGGUUGGUACUUCCAGGUUGUAUGGUGCAGGACCUUUCCUAAUUCUUCCAGAUAUAUCGUAAUGUGAUCCGUGACACGGACAAAACCAACCACCAUAAUCACCAGCAUUAGGCAAGGGGAUGCACCCCAAAUGAGUGCACACUCCAACAACCACUAACCAUUCUGGAUUCUUGACCCUAACCGAGUCUUCUUGUGGGUCCCUCAGGGAUCCAACAUCCACACUAUUGGCCAGCUUGAUGUCAUCUUCUGUUCUUCGCCUGAUGAAGACGGGCUUUCCACGCCACUUGACUGUCACGGUAGUUCCUGGUUCUAUGCUCCCUAGGUCAACCUCAAGGGAUGCAAGGGCAAGGACAUCUUUACUUGCAGACAUGCUCACAAUAAGCUUCAAAACAAGCAGGCGGAGGACAGAGGCAUAAACAAACCUCCCACCCGACAAGACAAAAUAGGCGAAUGCACGCUUGCUAGGGUCACCAGGUGGGUAACGCUCAUGGUUAUGGUCAUCAUAGACAAUCUUUGAGUUAGGCGUUUUGACAGCUUCGACUGUGGCUGGGACUUCUGAACCAAAACCUAUCUCAUUUCCUUGAGCAAGGACUUGAGAAGAGAAGCCUGAAAAUAGCAUGAAACAUUAAUAUUUCACAUCAAAGGCAAACUUUAUACUUGGUCAAGUGUUCUACAAGAAUAAGAAUAAGCCACAGGACUACCACAAUCAAGAUGUGACCAUUGAUGUAUAAUCUUCUAAGGAAAAACAAAAGUACAUAAAACGGAUUCCAUGAAGUAUGAGAUCCAUCCAAACAAUUCAAACCAUCGUAUCAAACUCGGGGAGUGGAAACUUAAAUACGAUAAUCUCCAUAAAAAAAACAAGAGAACAAAUUCAAUGAUCAACAUGGAAACAGAAGAACAAAAAAUUGGAAUCUAGAAGCCAAUGUGAAUCACACUAUGGAUAACGCAUUCCAAUGAUUUACAAGCAAGGAGCUUUAGUCAUCAACCAAAGAAUUACAUCUAAACAGGUCAAUCCAUAAUCCAUCAAUAAACUCAAAUGUUCAUUUCCUUCUGGACGAAAGAAUGAAUCAGAGAAGCCAAGUAUACCAAAUUCAUCCAAACAAAUCAAUAAUAACAAAUUCAGUGAAACCUUAAAUACUAAAACCAACGUAAUAAACCAAGAGAAAAAAAUAUAUUGAUCAGAUGCUGUAUAUUACAGAAACGCUUAAAACACAACAAAAUUUCCAAUGCUAAGAACAAACAAAGCUCUUUGGUUAAGAAAACAUAAAUUUCAGAAUGCAAGUUCCUCAGCAUGCCUUUAAACAGCUAUAAAUCCUACAAACAUAGUAUACAGUUAAAACAUCCAUGUCCCUAACAAUGAAGAACUCAAAAGGAUUGAUACACAAGAUCAAAUUUCAAAAACCAAGAAGCCAGUGGUGAAUCAUACUAUGAUUAACGCACCGAAAAGAGGAAACUUUCCUAGUAAAACAAAGGAUUAUCUCAGAACUGAACAAUCCACACGAAAGAAGUAAUCAUCAAAUGCAAUACAAAUCCAGCAAGGAGAAGAAUGUAGCCAAAUGGUACAUCAAGCUCAUGGAAUUCAAAUCAGAUGACACGUUUGUUCCCACGGAUCAUUGCAGAUACAAUACUAGAAAUCUCAAUCAUUCCCGUGAAUCAUACAACCAAAAAAAGAAGACCUUUUCAAAAAUCAAUCAAUCAAAUAAAACUGCAAAGAACCACCGAAAAUGAAAAAUCAAUGUAGAGAGAGAGGGAAAGGGUUAUAAAUCGGCAAACCUCUGAUAAGGCUACGGUGGUAAGAUGAGAGAUCUGCAGAGGGGAGGGAUCUGGGAGCUGAAGAGGAGUCGCCGCCACCAUCGGAAAGGGUAUGGUCACGGGAGACGACGAAGGAGGUCGCAGUCGAAGAUCUCUGCGAGACAGAGAAAAGCCUCCUCCCUGCUACACGCAGCAUCUCUCAGCUCAAAUGUGAAUCUAGGGUUUCGCUCUAGCUGAACAGAGAAAUCCUCAGGUUUGGGACGGCCGAUGCAAAACAAAACAUAAGAGACUACUUACUAGUAAGUCCCUUAAAAAUUGUCUUUGAGAAAAGGUCAAUUUGUUUUGUUUUUUUUGGUUUUUGCGUAUUACUUGAUAUUUUUUUACUUCAGGAUUUUGAUGGCAUGGUUUUUUUUCUAAUUUUAAUUAAUAAAAUCUUUUGGUUUUACGAUAUAAUUUUUUUGUGUGUGUGUAUUUGUAAGAUAAAUUAUUUUAUUUGUAUAAAAAUCGUAAUUUUUAAUAAUAAUAAUAGGGGGUCUAUACUUGGUAAAGGAUAUAUUUUGUUGUUGUAAUGUUUAAACAAGAUUUCCAACAAAAAGACUGUUUUACAUCUGUGUGAACUUUUCAAUACUAGAAGAAAGAGCUAGAAGGACAUCAUCAAAGAAGUAGUCAUCGAUGAAAACAAUCUGAACAAGAAAAUUAGGCUAAGAUCCACAACCAGAAUAUGACAUCUUUCAUCAAAGUAGUAGUCUCGAGGUUCACAAUUGGAUUUCUCACUAUGGAAGAGAAGGUUUAUGGCUUAGUUGAGAAUUGAAGGUCUUCGAAAUGUCGUCUCCAGUAAGAACACGAAAGUUUUAUAACACACCUUGAACCUUACCAAGUUUUUGUCUCAAUUGUGAUAAUGGCUACAGACUUUAAGGAAAGGAAACUCUCUUACAAACGAUAUGUUACAAAAUUACAAACAUAAGAAAAAUAGGGAUGAUACUAUUCAAAACUCUUUUCAAAUAAUAAACAGAGACUAUGAAGUAUGAACAAUGUAUUUUCACCAGAUGAGACAGAUACUAAGUCAUACAAUGACAAGUUUGUAUUAUUCAGCAAAACAAGCCAAUUUUUGCUGAGCCCAAAGUGUGAGGAAAGCGAACUUGCACGCUAAAAUGCCGGAAAAUAUAAAAACAAAAACAGAUUUAAGAUCAUCCAGACCAUGACACUCGGACUGUUGUGCUUUAUUCAUUAACCAAUGAGUAAUUUAUUCUCUUCCAAGAAGCUGUAGGUCGGUACUUCCAGGUUGUAUGGUGCAGGACCUUUCCUAAUUCUUCCAGAUAUAUCGUAAUGUGAUCCGUGACACGGACAAAACCAACCACCAUAAUCACCAGCAUUAGGCAAGGGGAUGCACCCCAAAUGAGUGCAUACUCCAACCACGAUCAACCAUUCUGGAUUCUUGACUCUAACCGAGUCU
rnacentral:lncRNA from 1 species